rnacentral:rRNA from 1 species
UACGUAGGGGGCAAGCGUUGUCCGGAUUUAUUGGGCGUAAAGAGCGUGUAGGCGGCCUUACAGGUCAGCUGUGAAAACUCGAGGCUCAACCUCGAGACGUCGGUUGAAACCGUAAGGCUAGAGUCCGGAAGAGGAGAGUGGAAUUCCCGGUGUAGCGGUGAAAUGCGCAGAUAUCGGGAAGAACACCCGUGGCGAAGGCGGCUCUCUGGGACGGUACUGACACUGAGGCACGAAAGCAUGGGGAGCAAACAGG